UCAAUCAUGCCCCUUAUCGUUCUGGGCUACACACGUGCUACAAUGGCCGGUACAGACGGACGCAAAGCCGCGAGGUGGAGCAAAUCCUAAAAAGCCGGUCUCAGUUCGGAUUGCAGGCUGCAAUUCACCUGCAUGAAGUCGGAAUCGCUAGUAAUCGCAGGUCAGCAUACUGCGGUGAAUACGUUCCCGGGCCUU
rnacentral:rRNA from 1 species